rnacentral:rRNA from 1 species
AGUGAACGCUGGCGGUAGGCCUAACACAUGCAAGUCGAACGGCAGCACAGUAAGAGCUUGCUCUUACGGGUGGCGAGUGGCGGACGGGUGAGGAAUACAUCGGAAUCUACUUUUUCGUGGGGGAUAACGUAGGGAAACUUACGCUAAUACCGCAUACGACCUACGGGUGAAAGCAGGGGAUCUUCGGACCUUGCGCGAUUGAAUGAGCCGAUGUCGGAUUAGCUAGUUGGCGGGGUAAAGGCCCACCAAGGCGACGAUCCGUAGCUGGUCUGAGAGGAUGAUCAGCCACACUGGAACUGAGACACGGUCCAGACUCCGACGGGAGGCAGCAGUGGGGAAUAGUGGACGAUGUGCGCAAGCCUGAUCCAGGCAUACCGCGUGGGUGAAGAAGGCCUUCGGGUUGGAAAGCCCUUUUGUUGGGAAAGAAAAGUAGCAGGUUAAUACCCCGCUGUUCUGACGGUACCCAAAGAAUAAGCACCGGCUAACUUCGUG